rnacentral:rRNA from 1 species
AGAGUUUGAUCCUGGCUCAGAACGAACGCUGGCGGCAGGCUUAACACAUGCAAGUUNAACGGGAUUAAUUUAGUGCUUGCACUAAAUUAUGAGAGUAGCGCACGGGUGAGUAAUACAUGGGAACCUAUCCUGAAGUGGGGGACAACAGUUGGAAACGACUGCUAAUACCGCAUACGCCCCGAGGGGGAAAGAUUUAUCGCUUUAGGCAGGGCCCAUGGCAGAUUAGGCAGUUGGUGAGGUAACGGCUCACCAAACCGACGAUCUGUAGCUGGUCUGAGAGGACGAUCAGCCACACUGGAACUGAGACACGGUCCAGACUCCUACGGGAGGCAGCA